UACGGAGGGUGCAAGCGUUAUCCGGAUUCACUGGGCGUAAAGGGUGCGCAGGCGGCCAAGUGUGUUAGGCGUGAAAGCCUGAGGCUUAACCUCAGAAUUGCACCUAAAACUACAUGGCUAGAGCAUUGGAGAGGGUAGCGGAAUUCACGGUGUAGCAGUGAAAUGCGUAGAUAUCGUGAGGAAUACCAGAGGCGAAGGCGGCUACCUGGACAAUUGCUGACGCUCAGGCACGAAAGCGUGGGGAGCAAAAGGG
rnacentral:rRNA from 1 species